UACGUAGGGGCCUAGCGUUGUUCGGAAUUACUGGGCGUAAAGGGCUCGUAGGCGGCCAACUAAGUCGGAUGUGAAAUCCCCAAGCUUAACUUGGGAACUGCAUCCGAUACUGGAUGGCUUGAAUCCGGGAGAGGGAUGCAGAAUUCCAGGUGUAGCGGUGAAAUGCGUAGAUAUCUGGAGGAAUACCGGUGGCGAAGGCGGCAUCCUGGACCGGCAUUGACGCUGAGGAGCGAAAGCUAGGGGAGCAAACGGG
rnacentral:rRNA from 1 species